GAACAGCACGGCCUGCAGGGGAUGGGGAGGACAGGCGAUGGAGACGGGGAUCAGAUGGGAGGGUGACCUGGUGAGAGAUUUUCCAGCUGGCAGAAAUGUCCUCUACCUUGAGGGAGGCGUGUGACAUGGGAGUAAGUUUGCCAAAAUUCAUCAAACUGUGCUAAGAUCUGUGCACUUCACUGAAUAUAAACGUCAUUUAAAUGUCUACUUCAUUUAAAAAACAAAGAAGCUGAUUGGAAGUGCUGAGCCCUUGGGUAGCGUUUUCUGACUGCGGUCUCCACUGCAGGUUCUGUUUAAAGAGGAGAAUGGAUGGUUACACAUCCUGCUUGGGAUCCAAUCACUGAACCAGAGGGGAACACCGUGCAUGAUGGGCUGGUAAGGCGUGGGGGUCAGUACAGCAUGACACAGAAGGUCUUCUGCUUCCUGGAGCUUGGCCUGCCUCGGGAGGAGGAGAAAAUGGUCCAUGCCCCCAGAGAGCCCAUGAUGUGCCGGCCUAGGUGAGCACUCUUUGCACCUCGUGCCAUGGAACUUUUGCCACAGCCCUACCCACUUUACGGAUGAGGAAAUGGAGGCUCGGGAGAUGAAGCUGGCAGACUUCCUCUGGACAUCUGGAGGGACGUCCUGUCAGCAGAGCAGGCUGGACUGCUUCACAAAGAGGAUGCAGCCCCACCUCCCAGCGGGAGUUAGUUCUGCUCUGAGACGUGAGGCUCAGAAUCAGAUGAAGACUCCUGCUGCUGCAUCUUGAAGAUAAUGAUGCUGUUGCUCCCGGCCGGAACCACAGCAGUAGCGAUGAGUGAACAGCCAGCGGGGUGGAGCAGCCACACUGAUACAGGUGAGGCUCCAGCACUGCCGCAGCCCAGGGCCAGGCAAAACCGCCUUCCUAUCCCCCGGGAGCCGAGGCCUCUGAGAUCGGCGCUGGAGGUCGCACAGUGCAGGCAAAUCACACGGACCUCAGAGCAGGGUCCCUGGCCGUGAGAAGUCAAAAGACACAGUCUUUAAAAUAAGGACAGAAAACUGUAUUUAGUGCCACAAUAAAGCUGUGUAACAAACUACCC